UAUUAUGUGCAUGCCUACAAUGUUAAUAUAACAUAUCUCAUUAGAACUAUGCAAUUAAGUGCACUUGGGCUAGAGUAGUACUGGAAUGGGUGAUCUCCAGGGAAGUUCGAUUGUUUAUAUGCC
rnacentral:rRNA from 1 species